rnacentral:rRNA from 1 species
UGCGUAGGUGGUUGGGUAAGUCUGAUGUGAAAUCUCCGGGCUCAACCCGGAAAUGGCAUUGGAUACUAUUCGGCUAGAGGUUUGGAGGGGGGACUGGAAUUCUCGGUGUAGCAGUGAAAUGCGUAGAUAUCGAGAGGAACACCAGUGGCGAAGGCGAGUCCCUGGACAACACCUGACACUGAGGCACGAAGGCCAGGGGAGCAAACG